rnacentral:rRNA from 1 species
GAUGAACGCUGGCGGCGUGCCUAAUACAUGCCAGUCGAGCGAACAGACGAGGAGCUUGCUCCUCUGACGUUAGCGGCGGACGGGUGAGUAACACGUGGAUAACCUACCUAUAAGACUGGGAUAACUUCGGGAAACCGGAGCUAAUACCGGAUAAUAUAUUGAACUGCAUGGUUCAAUAGUGAAAGACGGUUUUGCUGUCACUUAUAGAUGGAUCCGCGCCGCAUUAGCUAGUUGGUAAGGUAACGGCUUACCAAGGCAACGAUGCGUAGCCGACCUGAGAGGGUGAUCGGCCACACUGGAACUGAGACACGGUCCAGACUCCUACGGGAGGCAGCAGUAGGGAAUCUUCCGCAAUGGGCGAAAGCCUGACGGAGCAACGCCGCGUGAGUGAUGAAGGUCUUCGGAUCGUAAAACUCUGUUAUUAGGGAAGAACAAAUGUGAAAGUAACUAUGCACGUCUUGACGGUACCUAAUCAGAAAGCCACGGCUAACUACGUG